UGGGGAAUAUUGCACAAUGGGCGAAAGCCUGAUGCAGCAACGCCGCGUGAGUGAUGAAGGCCUUCGGGUUGUAAAGCUCUGUCUUUUGGGACGAUAAUGACGGUACCAAAGGAGGAAGCCACGGCUAACUACGUGCCAGCAGCCGCGGUAAUACGUAGGUGGCGAGCGUUGUCCGGAUUUACUGGGCGUAAAGGAUGCGUAGGCGGAUAUUUAAGUGAGAUGUGAAAUACCCGAGCUUAACUUGGGUGCUGCAUUUCAAACUGGAUAUCUAGAGUGUGGGAGAGGAGAAUGGAAUUCCUAGUGUAGCGGUGAAAUGCGUAGAGAUUAGGAAGAACACCAGUGGCGAAGGCGAUUCUCUGGACCAUAACUGACGCUGAGGCAUGAAAGCGUGGGUAGCAAACA
rnacentral:rRNA from 2 species